AAGAGAAGAAACUCGCUAGACAUAAUAGGAUCAACAUGCGGAAGCAGAAACGCCAGAAAAAUAUUUCAGCCGAUAAUGGAGAUGGAUUUGGAAAAGAAAAGGCAACACAACCUUUAAAAGACAUAACAAACCGUCAACAUUUCCCACGAUUAAAUUUAAACCUUUAGAGAGAUGUGCACACGCUUCAUCGUCUCAAUCUCAGUCACAAUAUCCAAAUUUACCUCGCCAGCAACAUUCUCAAUUUGGUUUGUCAACUUCAAAUGUGGAGACAAAUUUUCUUCUACCUGAUUUAAAUGAGUUACCCCUACUGCCAGAACUUGACGAUGUCAAUAUUGAUGGGGAUGUAGAAGAAAUUAAUGAUGCAACUGAAGAUGAAGAAGACUAUGAAGAUCCUGAUGUUGGAUAUGGAAAUAUUGACAAUGAAGUAUUGGGAUAUAGGCGAUCCUACAUAUGAAUGUGAACAUUGUGGUGCUUACUUCUGGUACGAAGAAAGAAUCAACAAGAAAAUCAAAGCAAAAAAACCAGAGUUCUCUUUGUGUUGUAAUCAUGGAAAGAUAGUCUUACCAAAGCCAAAAG